UUAAUUGAAGCCAAAUAGAGGCAUUUCAUUGUUAAUGAAAAAACUGGUUAACAAUAUUACCCAAUUAAA
rnacentral:tRNA from 1 species